AUCCAGCUGACGAGUCCCAAAUAGGACGAAACGCGCGUCCUGAAU
rfam:Schistosoma rodhaini strain Burundi genome assembly, scaffold: SROB_scaffold0000340